AAAUGAUAAUCAUGAUUAAUCUAACUCAACCAUGCUAAGGUAUCAAAGAAGAUCACUAAUAUCUGCAGAAGAACAAUGUCCUUCAACAAAUCUAUGAAACCGCCUGCUAUCUCGAACGAUGAUUUCCUUUCCCUACUGCGCGGCAAUGAGAUUACCGUAAUAAAAUCAUGGCAAUUCUUGCACAUGGAAACAUUCAUGCGAACCCUUAUUGGUGUAUCCUUUUGAGUAUUCAACAACCCAUAAGCGAUGGCCAAUCUCUCACUGUGGUA
rnacentral:misc_RNA from 1 species